GACGAACGCUGGCGGCGUGCUUAACACAUGCAAGUCGAACGGAAAGGCCCUGCUUUUGUGGGGUGCUCGAGUGGCGAACGGGUGAGUAACACGUGAGUAACCUGCCCUUGACUUUGGGAUAACUUCAGGAAACUGGGCUAAUACCGGAUAGGAGCUCCUGCUGCAUGGUGGGGGUUGGAAAGUUUCGGCGGUUGGGGAUGGACUCGCGGCUUAUCAGCUUGUUGGUGGGGUAGUGGCUUACCAAGGCUUUGACGGGUAGCCGGCCUGAGAGGGUGACCGGCCACAUUGGGACUGAGAUACGGCCCAGACUCCUACGGGAGGCAGCAGGGGGGAAUAUGGCACAAUGGGCGGAAGCCUGAUGCAGCAACGCCGCGUGCGGGAGGACGGCCUUCGGGUGGUAAACCGCUUUCGCCUGUGACGAAGCGUGAGUGACGGUAAUGGGUAAAGAAGCACCGGCGAACUACGU
rnacentral:rRNA from 1 species